CCCUAGCAGCAGUGCCAGUAAAUUGGAAACAAAGGUUGCCAUUUGACCAAAGAUCGGGUAGUGUCUGCUAACACCAUUCCGGCUGCAGCACAGCUCCUUGAGCUGCUUCAUAACUUGUCAAGGAGCGCAGUGUUCAAAAAAGGAAAAUGUUACUGAUGGAGCACUUUAAGACGGGAGAGAGAAAGUCUGCGUCUCUCUCAUUUGCCUGAUUGAAGUGUCUGGAACACAAAAUCGCCUUUGUUCUCCACGCUCUGAUGGGAUGACUUUACCAGGGUUUUGGCAUUUCCUUUCCCUUAGAAGACGUGCUCUCGGCAAACUGGACCAGUUCACAAGGCAUUUUAUGAGAUAAAGGAAGUUAAUCUCCAGGCUUUUGAAGAGUCUGGCUUGCACCCACCACCCAGCUCAGCACAGAGGACCCUGGCCUGUAGCCUGAGUUACUGCGGAAUUCGUUAUAGAGGAUCACGAGCACAGAAGCAGCAGGUGUGUUAUCCACGACACCAGCUGGGCACAAACUUCUCACGAGAGAUUUUUAGGAGCGUCUUUCUUUACCACAGGAACGCAGGCUCCUCCUCCUUCUCUGACUCCCCACCAUCCUCAAACCCCUCGGUGUGUUUUGUAUCCUUGCUUUGUGUCUGCUCAUUAUGAGCACGAGAAGGUCCUGCCUCUGCACGGCUGUCGGCUGUCCACGUCCAGGCCCACGAGGACCCAAAACAUCCUGAAUCCUUGUCAUGGCAAUCUCAUGUAUUCUUUAAUAAAUAAUUUA